rnacentral:rRNA from 1 species
UACGGGGGGGGCAAGCGUUGUUCGGAAUUACUGGGCGUAAAGGGCUCGUAGGUGGCCAACUAAGUCAGACGUGAAAUCCCUCGGCUUAACCGGGGAACUGCGUCUGAUACUGGAUGGCUUGAGUUUGGGAGAGGGAUGCGGAAUUCCAGGUGUAGCGGUGAAAUGCGUAGAUAUCUGGAGGAACACCGGUGGCGAAGGCGGCAUCCUGGACCAACACUGACACUGAGGAGCGAAAGCCAGGGGAGCAGACGGG